AUCCAGCCGCCCGUCUUCUUGUUUUCGAAACCCCACUUCAUUAGAGAUUGAGUUUGAAACCUUCAUUUACAUCUGGUAAUUUAGUACUUGUUCUACUUGUUCUUGCUGGUUCUUCGAUUGCUUGCAGGACGAGUGCCCUAUGGCCGGGUGUUGCGCUCUAUAAGAACGUGACAGCCAUUGGAGGCGGUGUAUCGGUUGCUAAGGCGCAGUCUUGAGGGCUGUAGUCGGGCCGUGAACGUCAUCUCUAUUCACUAAUCGAGUUAUCCAGCGCCUCUCAUCGAAAGAUCAGGCGAAAACCCUAGUGGGUUCACAUCAGUUGGUAUCAGAGCAAGGUUUAUCGGUGAGAGAUUUCCAAUUCUUCGUGUUUGUUUUUCCUAUAGUCCAAAAAAAAGACAAAAAAUAUAGCAGAUUUGUUUUCCAUAAUCCUAUAAAUCCUUUGUGUCGUGGCUAGUACUACUUAGUUAGGGCUGGUUGAAUGAGUGUUUGCUUCGGUCGUGUCCAGUGCUGGUUUUAGUUUAGUCCUUUAGAGUUUUGAGUUCUUGUCACCAUCUAGUCACAACUGUGUCCAAUCUAUUGUGGGUUGGAAUUUGAGUAGAUCUUGAUAAUAGGUGCAGCCACUUGUUUGUCUAUUCUGCGUUUCCAUCAACGUGAUCCAAAAGGAAAGAUAGCACUUCAUACUUGUGCUAGAUAUAUUGAAUUUUGAGGUUCAGCCUUACUCUAGUGAGAGGGUGAGAGUGGUGAAGUGAUAUUUUGUACUAUUUUGUUUAUAUAAUCAGGUUUUGAGUUUCCCCAAAAAAAAGAAAAGAGAAAGAAAAAAAAAUUAAAAAAAAGAAAGAAAGAAAAAAGAAAAAAUCAAAAAAUCAAAAAAAGGGGAUUGUUGUUCCUUUUGUUUCCAGUAGGGCUGCUCAUUUUGUUUCUAGUGGUGUGCUGUUUUUUCCCUUUGUGUCCAG
rnacentral:lncRNA from 1 species